UCUAUAAUUGGGACACGUAUCUAGAC
rnacentral:piRNA from 1 species